rnacentral:rRNA from 1 species
UACGGGGGGUGCGAGCGUUGUCCGGAAUCACUGGGCGUAAAGGGCGCGUAGGUGGUUUGAUAAGGGUGUGGUGAAAGUCCGGGGCUCAACCCCGGAUCUGCCGUGCCGACUGUCAAACUCGAGGGCUGUAGAGGCAGACGGAAUUCCGGGUGUAGCGGUGGGAAUGCGUAGAGAUCCGGAGGAAGACCGGUGGCGAAGGCGGCAUCCGUGGACCAAUUCUGACGCUGAGGAGCGAAAGCCAGGGGAGCAAACGGG